UACAGAGGUCCCGAGCGUUGUUCGGAUUCACUGGGCGUAAAGGGUGCGUAGGUGGUGAGGUAAGUCGGAUGUGAAAUCUCCGGGCUUAACCCGGAAACUGCAUUGGAAACUACCUUGCUGGAGGGUUUGAGGGGGGACUGGAAUUCUCGGUGUAGCAGUGAAAUGCGUAGAUAUCGAGAGGAACACCGGUGGCGAAGGCGAGUCCCUGGAAAACACCUGACACUGAGGCACGAAAGCUAGGGGAGCAAACAGG
rnacentral:rRNA from 1 species